AGCGAACGCUGGCGGCAGGCUUAACACAUGCAAGUCGAGCGGGCCUAGCAAUAUGUCAGCGGCAGACGGGUGAGUAACGCGUGGGAACGUACCUUUUGGUUCGGAACAACACAGGGAAACUUGUGCUAAUACCGGAUAAGCCCUUACGGGGAAAGAUUUAUCGCCGAAAGAUCGGCCCGCGUCUGAUUAGCUAGUUGGUGAGGGAAUGGCCCACCAAGGCGACGAUCAGUAGCUGGGCUGAGAGGAUGCUCAGCCACAUUGGGACUGAGACCCGGCCCGAACUCCAACGGGAGGCAGCGAUGCGGAAGAUUGGACGAUGGGCGCAGGCCUGAUCCAGCCAUGCCGCGUGAGUGAUGAAGGCCCUAGCGUGGUAAAGCUCUGUGGUGCGGGAAGAUAAUGACGGUACCGCAAGAAUAAGCCCCGGCUAACUUCGUGCCAGCCGCCGCCGUAA
rnacentral:rRNA from 1 species